GGUGGGGUAACCAAGUGGCUAAAGGGUGCAGACUGUAAAUUUGCCGAGCGUCGCUCUUCGGGGGUUCAAAUCCCUCCCCCACCACCA
rnacentral:tRNA from 1 species